GGAAGGUGCGAGCGUUAAUCGGAAUCACUGGGCGUAAAGCGCGCGUAGGCGGUUAGGUAAGUCAGAUGUGAAAGCCCCGGGCUCAACCUGGGAACUGCGUUUGAUACUGCCUGACUAGAGUGUGGUAGAGGGAAGUGGAAUUCCACAUGUAGCGGUGAAAUGCGUAGAGAUGUGGAGGAACACCAAUGGCGAAGGCAACUUCCUGGAUCAACACUGACGCUCAGGUGCGAAAGCGUGGGGGGAGCAAACAGGAUUAGAUACCCUGGUAGUCCACGCUGUAAACCGAUGUCUACUAGCCGUUGGGAGGGUUUGCCUCUUAGUGGCGCAGCUAACGUGAUAAGUAGACCCGCCUGGGAGUACGGCCGCAAGGUU
rnacentral:rRNA from 1 species